rfam:Camponotus floridanus CamFlo_1.0_2.contig2466, whole genome shotgun sequence.
UUCGUUUUUCAGCAUUCUGGCGUUGGCAACAUAAAUAUGUACAGCCCAGACGAAGUGGCGUAGCUCCAUUUUUCCAAGUAGUAUUUGCUGGUAUGAUUGGGUUCUAUGUGCUGAAUUACAGCAAAUUACGUGAGUAGAAGAAUAUCAA